GGUGUAGGAGCCUCCAGGGAGAUGAUCUGCUGGAGGAGCUGAGACUCCACGCAACUGUGAAACACUAUUUUGGUGCUACUCUCAAAGCUCUCUGGUGCUGAUAUCUGAGUGUUGGACAGUUUCGGUGCUGGAGUGAGCGCUCUCUCUGCUACAGUGGAGGGCUUCAAGCACGCAGCUAGUCUGGCUGGAUGCAUCACGCGGUGGAGCCGUUUGGCGGGCGUGGCGCGCGGGACCCCUUCCCUCUGGACGGACUGAGCCGGGCCCCAUGGGGUCCCGUGGGGGGCCGCGCCUGGCAGCCGUCUGCCAGAUGUUCACCCGGAAUGAACCAACACCAGCUCCUUCCUCAUCUACCUCCUGGGCCCAUCGCCGGACUCAACCACCACCACAGUAAAUUCUUCAACAAUGGCCCCAUCCGAGGAGCAGAGAAGCUGGACAUGCCUCCUCAAAUGUUGGCGGAUCUUCAGAGGGAGCAGAAACCUCCUCACUUCCCCCCUCCCCCUCACCGCGCCUGGGAGCUGGGCCCGCUGUACGCCCCUCCUCUGCAGGUGCCUCUGCCCAGUGAGCACUCUCUGCGGCUGCACAACAUGGGCAUGGGCUACACCCCCGGAGGCCCGCCUCUGACCUCACACCUGCAGCCCAGCAGGCCCAGCCAGCCCCUCAAGUUCCCCGGGUCUCAGGAGCAGCACGUCCCCCGGGGCCCCCCCUUGUCAGGUGACGACAUGUGGGCUCAGGUGCACCAGCAGAGGGGCUACCCAGGGAAGAUGGUCGGGGGCCACUUAAAGAGACCAGGCCCCCCUCUCCCGGAGCACUCGGUCAUCCAGCACACUGCCCUGCCCCCCAGCACCCCGCCCCGCGCCUGGCUGAAGAUUGCCCCAGUCCCAGCAAGAGGAAGAAGGGCCCAGAACAGCAGCAGUUCUCAGGGCCUCCUCCACAGUCCCACGACCACACUGUACCCCCGAAACCUGCCUUCUGGAGCCCCCUUCACAAGGACAACGGCUCCUGGCAGAACCAAGCAGCGGAGCGCAAGAAGCCAGCGCGUGACAUUCAGGAAAGCAACAAACAGACCCCAGGAAGUUACACCUCAAAGUCUCUGGCCCCACCCACUCCCACUCAUUCGUCUCCAGGGAGCUAUAAACAUGGAUACGGCUCUCAGUACUACAAAGGCAAAGAGAAGCGCCCGUCGUAUGCCAACCCCAAGCCCCCAGGCCCCCCCUGCCCCUCCCUGGAGCCUCUGAGGGGGGCACAGCCCGGCGGCAGCCUGGGCGCCUCGGCUGUGGCAGCCAGCCCCAGCAGAGGGAGCAGAGAGCAGUACACGCUCAGUCAACAGUCACCAGCAGCCCCCCCUGUGACCAGCAGAAGCAGCAGUGUGCCUUACAGCCACUUGGGGCAUCAGGGCCCCGCUCUGCCCCCCCUCUGAGCUCCUCCUCGCUCACCCAGCAGAAUCACAGCGGGGCCCCCGAGCCCUGGAGGGGCCCCAGCAGAGCCCCUUCCCAGGUGAGGCUGCACGCACUCCAUCUCUUGACUUAAUGUCAACACGAGUGUGACAAUAUGACAUUAUGAAGAUUAUAUUCUGAAGACCAGUUAAAAGCCAGUGGCACAGUGUUGGGUUUUGAUAGGGCGGCCAGAUGACUGUACGGGACGUUUGAGAUGGAAUCAGAGGGGUGGGUGACCGGAUGAAUGUAUGGGACGUUUGAGAUGGAAUCAGAGGGGUGGGUGACCGGAUGAAUGUAUGGGACGUUUGAGAUGGAAUCAGAGGGGUGGGUGACCAGAUGACUGUACGGGAUGCUUGAGAUGGGAUCGGAGGGGUGGGCGACCAGAUGACUGUAUGGGACGUUUGAGAUGGAAUCAGGGGGUGGGUGAGGGGGGGGGGGGGGGGGGGGGGGGGUGGGGGGGGGGGGACCAGAUGAUGUAUGGGACGUUUGAGAUGGAAUCAGAGGGGUGGGUGACCGGAUGAAUGUAUGGGAUGCUUGAGAUGGAUCGGAGGGGUGGGGACCAGAUGACUGUAUGGGACGUUUGAGAUGGAAUCAGAGGGGUGGGUGACCAGAUGACUGUACGGGAUGCUUGAGAUGGGAUCGGAGGGGUGGGCGACCAGAUGACUGUAUGGGACGUUUGAGAUGGAAUCAGAGGGGUGGGUGACCGGAUGAAUGUAUGGGAUGCUUGAGAUGGGAUCGGAGGGGUGGGUGACCAGAUGACUGUAUGGGACGUUUGAGAUGGAAUCAGAGGGGUGGGUGACCAGAUGACUGUACGGGAUGCUUGAGAUGGGAUCGGAGGGGUGGGCGACCAGAUGACUGUAUGGGA
rnacentral:lncRNA from 1 species